UACGUAGGUGGCAAGCGUUAUCCGGAAUUAUUGGGCGUAAGGCGCGCGUAGGCGGUUGUUUAAGUCUGAUGUGAAAGCCCACGGCUCAACCAUGGAGGGGCAGUGGAAACUGGAAAACUUGAGUGCAGAAGAGGAAAGUGGAAUUCCAUGUGUAGCGGUGAAAUGCGCAGAGAUAUGGAGGAACACCAGUGGCGAGGGCGACUUUCUGGGCUGUAACUGACGCUGAUGUGCGAAAGCGUGGGGAGCAAACAGG
rnacentral:rRNA from 1 species